AGUUCGAUUAUGGCUCAGAUUGAACGCUGGCGGGAUGCUUUACACAUGCAAGUCAACAGCGGCACGGACUUCGGUCUGGUGGCGAGUGGCGAACGGGUGAGUAAUGUAUCGGAAUGUGCCCUAGUAGCGGGGGAUAACUACGCGGCGUAGCUAAUACCACAUACGCCCUUCGGGGGAAAACGGGGGACCUUCGGGCCUCGCACUAUUGGAAGCGACCGAUAUCGGAUUAGCUAGUUGGUGGGGUAACGGCUCACCAGGGCGACGAUCCGUAGCUGGUUUGAGAGGACGACCAGCCACACUGGGUUUGAGACACGGCCCAGACUCCUACGGGAGGCAGCAGUGGGGAAUUUUGGACAAUGGGGAAACCCUGAUCCAGCCAUCCCGCGUGUGCGAUGAAGGCCUUCGGGUUGUAAAGCACUUUUGGCAGGAAGAAACGGCACAAAAAUACCCCGUGCAACUGACGGUACCUGCAGAAUAAGCACCGGCUAACUACGUGCCAGCAGCCGCGGUAAUACGUAAGUGCAAGCGUUAAUCGGAAUUACUGGGCGUAAAGCGUGCGCAGGCGGUUCGGAAAAGAAAGAUGUGAAAUCCCAGAGCUUAACUUUGGAACUGCAUUUUUAACUACCGAGCUAGAGUGUGUCAGAGGUGGAAUUCCCGCGUGUAGCAGUGAAAUGCGUAGAUAUGCGGAGGAACACCGAUAAGCGAAGGCAGCCUCCUGGGAUAACACUGACGCUCAUGCACGAAAGCGUGGGGGAGCAAACAGGAUUAGAUACCCUGGUAGUCCACGCCCUAAACGAUGUCAACUAGCUGUUGGGGCCUUCGGGCCUUGGUAGCGGCUAACGCGUGAAGUUGACCGCCUGCAAAGUACGGUCGCAAGAUUAAAACUCAAGGAAUUGACGGGGACCCGCACAAGCGGUGGAUGAUGUGCUUAAUUCGAUGCAACGCGAAAAACCUUACCUACCCUUGACAUGUCUGGAAUCCCGAAGAGAUUUGCGGGAGUGCUCGCAAGAGAACCGGAACACAGGUGCUGCAUGGCUGUCGUCAGCUCGUGUCGUGAGAUGUUGGGUUAAGUCCCGCAACGAGCGCAACCCUUGUCAUUAGUUGCUACGAAGGAGGGCACUCUAAUGAGACUGCCGGUGACAAACCGGAGGAAGGUGGGGAUGACGUCAAGUCCUCAUGGCCCAUAUGGGUAGGGCUUCACACGUCAUACAAUGGUCGGGACAGAGGGUCGCCAACCCGCGAGGGGAGCCAAUCAGAAACCCGAUCGUAGUCCGAGAUCGCAGUCUGCAACUCGACUGCGUGAAGUCAGAAUCGCUAGUAAUCGCGGAUCAGCAUGUCGCGGUGAAUACGUUCCCGGGUCUUGUACACACCGCCCGUCACACCAUGGGAGUAGGUUUUACCAGAAGUAGUUAGCCUAACCGUAAGGAGGGCAAUUACCGGUAGGAUUCAUGACUGGGGUGAAGUCGUAACAAGGUAG
rnacentral:rRNA from 1 species